AUUCCACCACCAAAAAAGGAAGCAAACAAGUCAUCAGCAGACAUACCACCAUCGGCACCACCACCUUGUAAACCUUCUUCACCAAAACGAUCAUAAGUAGCACGUUUCUCUUCAUCAGCAAGAAUUUCAUAAGCACGGCUAAUUUCCUUAAACUUAUCGCCGGCAUUAGGGUUUUUGUCGGGAUGAUAUUUUAAAGCAAGCUUGCGGUAAGCUUUCUUCAAUUCAGCUUGAGAAGCAGUGACAUCAACGUUCAAGACUUCGUAUAGUUUAGUUUCUUUCACCAUUAUGCUUGUAAUAUAUGUAAGGAGAACAAAAACGACAGUGGAAGAAAGGGGGUAAAUAAAAAAGAAAUUGGAAUAUUAA